UAGAGCUUGCUGCAGUUGGAGUUUCAAUUGCUUUGUUUAACCAAGUUUCAAGAAUCGCUAUCUUUCCACUCGUUAGCAUCACAACUUCCUUUGUAGCAGAGGAAGAUGCUUGUAGUUCUGAGGAAAACACAAACCAAGAUUAUAAAGAAUGUAUUGAAACUGGUAUUAACAACACAAAGGAGGAAACUCAAGAACUGAUUCCUGGAAACAGUACGUAUAUUUAUAUAUAAUUAUAUAUAUUGUGAGUAUUUUAAUUUCUUGAAGUACUAAUCACUAGUUCUUUUGAUCUUUCCUUCAGUUUCUACACCAGAUGAAUCUAAAAACAGUUGCAGUAUCUUUAGUGUUAGUGACUCUCCAGUCAAGAAAAGAAACAUACCAUCAGCUUCUUCUGCUUUAAUCAUUGGAGCCAUUCUUGGCCUUCUUCAGGCUGUGUUUCUUAUAUCCUCAGCCAAACCUCUCU
rnacentral:lncRNA from 1 species